rnacentral:rRNA from 1 species
CUCGCCUCUUGCUGCACAUAGUAUAAGAGGUCCCGCCUGCCCAGUGAUCAUUUUUAACGGCCGCGGUAUUAUGACCGUGCAAAGGUAGCGUAAUCACUUGUCUUUUAAAUAAAGACCCGUAUGAAAGGCAAAACGAAAGCUCAACUGUCUCUUUAAUCUAAUCAGUGAAAUUUAUUUCUCCGUGCAGAAGCGGAGAUAGCCCUAUAAGACGAGAAGACCCUAUGGAGCUUUAAAUAUAUAAGCUAACUACGACCGCACUUUCAACCAACAGGUAAAAAUUAAAAACACGUGACCAUGGCUUAAAUUUUCGGUUGGGGCGACCACGGAGUAAAAAUUAACCUCCAUGACAUACAAUUUAGAAUAACAUUUCAAAAACUAAAACAUUUAUUUUAAAUGAUCCACUAAGUGACCAACGAACCAAGUUACCCUAGGGAUAACAGCGCAAUCCUUUCUAAGAGUCCCUAUCGACGAAUGGGUUUACGACCUCGAUGUUGGAUCAGGACACCCAAAUGGUGCAGCCGCUAUUAAAGGUUCGUUUGUUCAACGAUUAAAGUCCU